rnacentral:rRNA from 1 species
CCUACGGGAGGCAGCAGUGAGGAAUAUUGGUCAAUGGACGAGAGUCUGAACCAGCCAAGUAGCGUGAAGGAUGACUGCCCUAUGGGUUGUAAACUUCUUUUAUAUGGGAAUAAAAUGUUCCACGUGUGGGAGUUUGUAUGUACCAUAUGAAUAAGGAUCGGCUACCUCCGUGCCAGCAGCCGCGGUAAUACGGAGGCUCCGAGCGUUAUCCGGAUUUAUUGGGUUUAAAGGGAGCGUAGGUGGAUUGUUAAGUCAGUUGUGAAAGUUUGCGGCUCAACCGUAAAAUUGCAGUUGAAACUGGCAGUCUUGAGUACAGUAGAGGUGGGCGGAAUUCGUGGUGUAGCGGUGAAAUGCUUAGAUAUCACGAAGAACUCCGAUUGCGAAGGCAGCUCACUGGACUGCAACUGACACUGAGGCUCGAAAGUGUGGGUAUCAAACAGGAUUAGAUACCCGAGUAGUC